AGCGCUGGUGAUUCUUGACGUAGGCAUAAUCACCCUUUCCUAGCAGAUAAACCUUCUGCUCUUGGCACAUAGAUGAAGGCCGUGAUACAGUGGCUCUUAACAUAUGCAUGGAAUUUUGCGUGAGCAUAUCAGAGUGGGACUCGUGACUAAGGGGUUGCUCAGCUUCUGCCGUGAGAAUUCCCCACUUGCUUCUCCAAACAGAAUCUGCCUCUCUUUCUCAAAUCUUCCUGUCAGCUUACCCAUCUUCACUUUUAUCAGGGCCAAGCGUCUGAGUCGAUGAAGGAAUCCGUUCUUGCCUUCAGAUGUUUGUAUCUUUUCUUACAGCAAUAGAUCUCCCGUUCUGAUGUUUCCUCCCCUCCCAGAUAUGAGAUAUGAGGAUGCUUGCCGCCAUCAGGGCCCCAUGAUUUGAUGUCUCCCCAUGGAAACCUUCAUCCCAUAACGUUACUUGUGUGGUUUAGAGCAUGCCCUAGCGGAGCAGUCAGAGUUCUGCCACCCAUCCUGAUAAGCAAUAUUGAAGUGCCUUGAAAUAACAGAAUUCUGGUUGUCUUUCAUGUGCUGUGCUUCUCCUCCCCUCCCCACCCUGGUGCCUGUGGAGCAUAUCGUAAAUAUUGUGUAACCUUCUCUUUCCUUUUUUCCUCCCUAGGCCCAAGCAGAUCUGUCUUGUGUAAAAUCUAGAAGCAUAGCUUGCUUUAGGGCAGGUGGUUCAUUGCAGGGACCCUUAUUCACAGAACUGAAGCACUCUUAGGCCAAAUCAAAGAAGAUGUUGCCGCUUUGCCAGCAGCUGCAAAUUUGAAGCAGGAAAGCGCUUGAGAUUUCAGUAUAUAUUUGGCACUGUAUUGUCAUUUUGGUUCCUUCCAUCAUUUCUGUUUUGGCUUUGAAGUGAAAGGCUGGCAUGGACUUACAGAAUCAUUUGUGCAAGCCCUUCUCCAUCCAAAAUCUGAUUCUUGUGUCUUUGGCAAGAAGGUUUUGGCUGGCUUUUCCAAUUAGUUCUCAACUAGGCUUGGUUGGAUUUGGGUCCUGGCGAGGUGUGCCAUUUGCAAUCCGGUUUUCAGUCUUGGGAAAUCUAGCAUAACGGCCCCUGGUUGGCAAGUUCAUUGCAGCGCAAAGAAUUACAAACCAGUAGUUGUUAGUCACGGUGGUGAAAAACUACAUUAAGAGGUCACAUUUCAAGUGUAGUUCUGUAUUCUACAGCACCUCAUGCAUAGGCGCUUUCCCUGAUACUUUCUUUUACAGAAAACUCCUUGCAAUUUUUUUUAUGGCUGAAGCCUACUGCCAUGCAGUAGUUCUCUGCCAGCCCCCCCCCCCCAAAAAAAAAACCAUGGGAAAAUAUUCUAGAGAAUUGUAAUGGAAGGGCCAUAGGUCAGUAAGGAAGCACAUUUCCAACCUGUGCUACAGAAAACCCUGCCCUUGGGGGAAUCUACGUUGAGAAUACCAAUUAUAGCAGGCAAGCUUCCUUGAAAAGGCAGCACUAUUCAUGCAAGUCUGCAGCCUUGGCUAAUGUCCCACAUGAACUAAGGCCAUGCCCAGAGCCCAUCCAGAAUCGUUGACACGAUUCGUCUGGCAUUGCAUGGAUUAUUGUGCAACGCCCCAAAGGUGAAGACUGCAGCUCACGCUACUUAGUCAGCCACAUUGCACUACUGAGAAUAAUUCCAGUUUGCCAACAAGGCUUUGUACAGUCCUAGAAGGCAUCCAGCAGGGGAGCAUGAACACCCACCACUGCCUUCAUGGCCCUUUCUUUCCAAGUGGGUGAAAUUCACCUAAAAGGAAGGCUUUUUCAGGUGCUGUUUUUCUGAAAAAACGUAUUUUUUUCACACCCCUGUAAAGGGGGGGGGGAGGCCAAAUGAAGCCCUCUUUGCAAAUGCUUUUUGGAGAAAUAGAGCUGUGUGUAACUGGCUUCAUGAAAUUCUUCACAGCUCUACUUUUGCAAAAAGCAUUGGCUUCCAAAUUCUCUGUUCAUUUCCACAAGCGACUCCCUGUGUGUGUAGACAACUUUUAAUAACAUGCAUGUGGUGGAGCACUUAGCAGUCCCGGUGACAGAGGGCAGAGCAGCUUUAGGUUCUGAGUUUGUGGAAAUGAGCUGAUCCUAUGAAUGCUUUAUCAAAAGUAAGUGCCGCUGACUUCAAUGUGACUUGGCCCAGAGCCGGCCCUACCAUUAGAGAGAGUGUGGCAACUACCUUGGGCAGCGGAAGCUGGGAGAUGGAGAGCAGCAGCAGCAGCAAGUUUUGUGUACCAUGCAACCUGACCCGUGUCUCCAAAGCUGUCUCCUUCCAACUCUGAUUCUAUGAGAGGGUGCCUCCCCAUUGCCAGUGUUGAAGAAAGAUGCAGCUGACUGGGCAAAACUUCUGUGCUUGGAAAGGUUGGGAGGUGCACCACCUUGUCCUCCCCACACCACGAAAUGUAUUGAGCCAGACCUGGACUUGCUCCCAAGGAAGUGUGCAUUGGACUGUAGCUUUAAUCACAGCACCAAAGGGGACGGAUUCCGCACCCAGAGCCCUUCACAUAAUGUUUGGUACUAUUUGUCAACUGUCGUAUUGACCCACGUUUCCAAAGCAUGCUGGCACUGAAUUGCAAGUAAAUUUAUCUCAGAGGAGGAACACUAACCUGCAGCCCUGAAAGAUCAAGCUAACUUGCCUUCUUGCAGGUAGGCAGGUAGCACACUCCCAAGGUAGUUUUCCAGGUUUCUUCAGCGGUCUAAUCUUAAAGCCUUGAUACGUAUAUUGAUAUUCAAUUUCAUAGAGAAUCAGUCUCUAUAAAAGAAGUGAGUAAACCUCCCAGAGGACUAUACAUUUUCGUUAAAAGCCACUCCCUACCUUUAGAUCGAAGGAGCUCCAAAAUAAGAAAGGUGGUCCUUAGAGUUGCACUCCUAUCUUUUGUGUGUGUGGCCGUUGAGAGAAUAAUAUGCUUCAAAAAAUAUGCAAUAGAUGCCCUUGCGAUUUAAAAGGAUUCCCCCACUCCUUUCUAACAGCAAACAAAUCUCACUCUUAGCUUCAGUGUUAAUCAAAUCAGAUAAAGAAAAGAAAAAAGUAUUAGCACAAUACUUAGCUGCUUCUUUUUUAAAUGUAUUCUCUACUAGCAUUGCAGCAGAGGACACUCAGCAGUUCUGUCUCUCAUGCUCCAUUUCAAAAGCCCCCAAUACUGUCAAAUUUUGGCAGUUCAGAGUUGGGGAAAUCCUUAGGAAAGCACCCAAGGAAGUUGUUUUGUUUCAGAGUCUUGCAGUUGAGAACCUUUUCUGAGCACUAGGGGGUGAUGGUAGGUGGAAUGGUGUUCACACCUCCUUGAUGAUGUCCCUUAAGUCACCUCCAUGACCACUUAGAUGCCCUUGGAACCCUGUUGAAGCCGGUUAGCUGAUGCCACACCACUGCUCAGAACUAAAAUAUUUCUGUACUCCCUUGCUUUCCAAGAAAUGUAUUGGAUUGUGUGAGACUCUGCCUGGAGCAGAAUCACCUUGAGUUCAGAUACUUUCUGAGCAAAUGCAAGAAAUUGUCAACAUCAGCAAUGCAUGUUCUUAUUCUUAUUAUUAGGACCUAUCAUUUCCAAUUUGGCCUCCUCAGCCUACUCAUGGUUAUAUAACCUUGAAGACAGUGAGGGAGGCUCCUUAGGGUGGGAGGAUGCUAGGUGCCACUGCCAACCAUACUGGGUUGAAUCAGAUGGGUGUCAUACCCUGUAGGUGCCCCCAGCUCAAAGAAUGAUUCCUGGAGCAAGAAAGGCAAAGCAGUGCGAAACCAGUUUUGCACACAAGCAAGGGGUUCAGGAACCGCUGUGGACACUAUCACAGCACUUCCUUAAACAGUCAGACCAGGUUUGUGGACCAGCGCUAGCUACUCUCCCUCCUCCUGCUCACAGUUCUAUGCAUCCAACCCCUUGUAUUCUGGAUAGUGCUAAAUGUGCCCCAGGCCAGCUGCAUUGUGAACACUGGCCAGGCUGUACCAGGAGAACAGCUCUCCUAGUCGGUCUCCUGUGGACUAGAACUUCCUAUGGGGUACAUCCAGGAGGUCUUCUAUCUCCAAGGUUAGUUAUGAGAGGAGGAGGAGGAGCCUAACACCAAUGGACAAACCUACCUCUAUUCCCUCCACAGGACUAGCAGAUUGCUGGUGCCUUAUGUUUCAGGCACCAGUAAGCACUUAAUUAUAUCGCGUGGAAACAAUCUGUUGAAAUAAAGUAGUGGGGUGAUGUUUUUAAGCCCCACACCCAGUUGUUGGGACUUUUAAAGAAAUUAGGUUCUUUAUAACUCAGUUGUACAUUGCUGGGACUUUUUAAUGCAAUUAACUUGCUGGUGCAUUGAUCUAGUAGCGUUUUGCCACCAUUUGUAGUGAAACCAAAAUUCCUCCCAUCCUACGCAGAAUGCUAAAUAUUUUAGUUGCCACCUUACAUGUUUGCUUCUGUUUUCUGAGGUGUUAUUGCUUUCCAUGGCACGUUAAGCAAUCCCUCUGCGCAAAUGUCAGCCUCGGAAGGGGUGACAUGCUCAUCAUUGCAUGUUUGCUUUCCUUUCUUGUCCUUUCUCUAAUGGAGGCUGCCAGUUAAGUAAACUCCACUCCCAGGUCUAUAUAAUCCUAUAUGCCCAGAGGCUGGGAGUGAGUCCCACUGGACCCAGGAGUGCUGGCUUCUGAGCAGAAAUACAUAGGGUGCUUCCAGUCUGGUCCAAUGAGUCACUUCUUUUCGUGACUUGGGAUCUGAAUGCAUAGUCUAGCAUUCCACUGAAGAAGAAUCCCAAGGCUCUCUGUGAGCCCAACAAGUGACAUUGCAGCCCACUGUAAAGAUUAAUUGUGGACCUUUGCAUCUUAGAAAAGUAUUGCACAAGCACACUUAAAAGUGGCUAGCACCUAGGGCUGAAAUUGUUGAAGUAAUAAGUUUCAUAAUGGAAGAAAUUAAUUAGUUUAAUUCAUUCAAAAACUAGACACACACACCCCCCCAAAAAUAUCAAUUUUUUAGUCAUGGAAGGGAAGCCUGUACUCCUGGAUCUGCUACAAACUCUGCGUAUCAUGCAGUUCACAGUCUUCAUAACUGCAAGGAACAGGAUAUUGGGAGUCCCAUACAUGAGGGCUCCAUGUGCUCAAGGGCAUCUCUCAUUUAUGUAUUAAGAUUUCCACAAAGGCCCUUGAUAAGCAUGCAUGGAAGCCAGCAGCAGGAGCACAUACGCUUCAAAUAGUUUUCGAAGCAAUAGCGUGUCUUUCUUUAGUCAACAGUCAUUACCAAAAUACUCAAGACAUCCUGUUUUAAUUGGAAAUUAAUUGGUUAACUCAAAAAUAUUCAUUUACUUAAACCCAUUAAUUAGUUUGCUAUCCUUGUUACUCUGGUGAAAACAUAAUGUAUUUAGUUGCAUGGAUCAUUUCUGAGUGCAUGUAGAAUGAGUUGCCUAACUCGUGUCAUUCUUGCAGGGUUCAUCCAUUUACUUACCUUUUAAAAAACAGAUUCAUUAUACAACCUACUUCCUCAAACAACUCCAGAUGAACAUGGCUGGGAUCAACACAACUUGCCCAAAAUGUAGGUCUUUGAACAGCCUUGAACGGCCAGCAGUUAGACCUGGUCAAUGCACAAACUGUUCCACUUCUUGGGCACACAGCCUGAAUAAGAAUCUUCAACGGCUUGAAAACAUGCAGUGCUUUUUAUCAAACAAGAGAGGCUUUUGCACAACCUGUGCAUAGCAAAAUCUGGAUAUAGUUGUGAAGAACAGGGCAUAUAUAUUUGAUAACGGCCAGCCCACUUCCUGUCAGGACUGCCCGUCUUCAUUUUCCACUCUGUUAUGAAACUGCUGAAAUAAACACAAGUGCUUGGGGGCACCUUUAAUUUGCAGCGUGGUGGCAUGCAUUUUCUUAUAUGAGCAUGUGAAGUUGCCUGCAGCCUGCCAGCCGCUUGUGCCACCAUCUUUUAAAGUACCUUGUCCUUUGCAGUCACUCUGCAAUUUCUAGGGCUAUCAGAGGUGAGGAAUCUGCGAGAUAUUGCUGGACUCUCAACUCCCAUCACCACUGCCCGUGCUACCUGGGGCGGAUAUCAGUUGGAGUCCAAGAACAUCUGCAUGGCCACUGGUCCCAUACCCAUAUGCUAGAUUAACCACCUGCCUUUUUAAUCAGUUACAUCAAUUUGCAUGUUACAGGUGCUUUUUGGAGAUAACACAAUUAAACGAAAGCUGCCACUAAUAUCAGUAGCAAAAGCCUUUUAGUGCUGUGCAUGCUUACUCAGAAAUCAUAGAGUUAAAAGGGGUCCCGAGGGUCAUUUUGUCCAACCCCCUGUAUGCAGGAAUCGCAACUAAAGCAUCCAUGACAGGUGGCCACCCAACCUCUGCUUCAAAACUUCCAAGGAAUCCAACCUUCAGAGGGAGUCUUCCACUAUUAAACAGCUCUUACCUUCAGAAAGUUGCUACUGUUGUUCAGCCAAACAUGUCUAGUGAGCCUUGCUUCCAAUGAAAUCUGCCUUAAGCUGCAUUUACCUGGUAGAAAGCCCUGUUGAAGUCAGCAUGGUUUACUUAUGAGCAGACUUGCAUAGGAUUGUACUGUUCAAUAACAUAAUCGUUAAAGCUUGCAGUUAAAUUUUGCUGCAUUAGCAGUGAUGCAGUGAAGAUUCAGAUGCAUUUGCCUGCUUACCCGUCUUUGUCUUUGUAGCCACACAUGCGGAAUAAGCAUUAUGGGGUUUGGUUUUCGAAGUAUAUUCUGCAGAAGUUACUAUGUAUGUAGGACGUCUGUACCUCUGGCAUUGGCAGCAUCCAACUGGAUAAUGUCAGAGCACGGACAGGAGGCCAAGCUUUAAAAUGUCACCAACGGACACUGGAACGCUUAGGGUGCUGAUUCCUUCUGCAAUAACCAGCAGCCAUGCAGGGUUUGUAACCACGAAGGGGAAAAGGUUGCAUAUUUUAAGGCCUUGGUUGUUGAAGCUGACCUUUCCCUCCCUGCCUUAGCAUGUCACCAUGCUGCUUGUAGCUGUGCAUGCAUCACCUGUGUGCAGGAUAGCAGUCUUUCCCCCAUCAUUUUAACACCCCAUCACCCUGAUCCAGUUAUUCCUCACAGUUGCACACACCAAGUACUCAUGCCUGCAAGGGAUUCAUUGUGCACUGGGGCGCACACAGAAGUCGUGCUUGAACCAGCUCCCCUGGUCUCUUCGGUGAGGGAGACAGCUUCACAUACACAAAAUGUGUGUGUGUGUGUAUGGAUGCCCCUCUGUUGGAAUUGUGCACAUGAGGAGUCCAUGCUGGACAUCUUGCUGAACAAAGAGGGAAUCUCCUGUGAGUUUCUGCUCUCCAGAAAUUUGGAAGGUGGAGGCAAGCAUGGUCUUACAAAAUACUGAGCCUGCAUACAACAAGCUGUUCAAGGUGUCUCCUCGAUUCCAGUAGGGCUGAGAUAAGCUUUAAAAUUCAUGGCUUUAAGAAAGCAAAUCAUCAUAAUGCAUUUCGUUUCGUGGUCUAUUAUGAUGGAGAAAAAUAAGAGCGUGCCCCCUCAAAAAAUAAAUUAGGGUUGUGUAUUUCCCAUUUUUAAAGUUGUUUGCUAUAUUUAAGUAACCAAGUUUACUAGAGAAGGGCAAUGGUUAUUCACACACACUCUUUUAUAAUUCUCAGAUAUAUUGAGUUUUAUUUAGGAGAUUUAGAUGAAAGUUUGUGUUUUGCUUUGCAAUUUGCUUCCUUUGUCCAAAGUCCUAAAUUCUGCUGUCAUUUACAUCUUUCACAAACUUGCAUUUGUGAGCUUCUUCUAAUCUGAAAUUAACCAGUGAUUUGGAUUUCCUUUCCUUUCCUUUUUUAUUAUAUUCC